rnacentral:misc_RNA from 1 species
UCCGGUUUGUCACCGGCAGUCUCACUAGAGUGCCCAACUUAAUGCUGGCAACUAGUAACAAGGGUUGCGCUCGUUGCGGGACUUAACCCAACAUCUCACGACACGAGCUGACGACGACCAUGCACCACCUGUCAUUGCGUUCCCGAAGGAAACGCCCUAUCUCUAGGGUUGGCGCAAGAUGUCAAGACCUGGUAAGGUUCUUCGCGUAGCUUCGAAUUAAACCACAUGCUCCACCGCUUGUGCGGGCCCCCGUCAAUUCCUUUGAGUUUCAACCUUGCGGUCGUACUCCCCAGGCGGAGUGCUUAAUGCGUUAGCUCCGGCACUGAAGGGCGGAAACCCUCCAACACCUAGCACUCAUCGUUUACGGCAUGGACUAC